rnacentral:hammerhead_ribozyme from 1 species
AUCCAUCUGACGAGUCCUAAAUAGGACGAUACGCACGUCCUGAAU